CUUGCCUUGGCACCGGACACCUAAGAAUGAAAAUCAAAAUCUCCAACUCUCACAUUCACAGCCGCCAACUCUGAUAGGAGCAGCAAUCAGGAGCUCCCUCUUCUUUCUUUCCAAAGCCCAAGCUGUUGUGCUUUGUUUUCUCCUCCCUCAUGGCCAUCAGGAACACGACGUAGUGGCAGAGAUGCAGACAAGAACACAUCAUCAAAGAUGUUAGUUUUGAUGGCCCUCAUUACUUAACCAAAUUUCAGCCUCAUAAAGUGUUUUUUUAAUCAAUCUUUCAUGCAACCAGUUCUUUAUCCUUGAUUUAGUAAGACUGUUAUUAUCUAGGAAAGGGGUUUUGAUUUUCUCGAUGGGUUCCUUAGUUUCUUUAUCCCUUUUCCAUCGAAAGAAUGGCUUCAUGGUGUGUAUACGAAAGCAACCCCAC
rnacentral:lncRNA from 1 species